GGGGAAUAUUGCGCAAUGGGGGAAACCCUGACGCAGCUACGCCGCGUGCGGGAUGAAGGCCUUCGGGUUGUAAACCGCUUUCAGCAGGGACGAAGGGUUUCUGACGGUACCUGCAGAAGAAGCACCGGCUAACUACGUGCCAGCAGCCGCGGUGAUACGUAGGGUGCGAGCGUUGUCCGGAAUUAUUGGGCGUAAAGAGCUUGUAGGCGGUCCGUCACGUCGGAAGUGAAAACUCAGGGCUUAACCCUGAGCCUGCUUUCGAUACGGGCGGACUGGUUGGAGGAAGGGAGAACGGAAUUCCUGGUGGAGCGGUGGAAUGCGCAGAUAUCAGGAGGAACACCAGUGGCGAAGGCGGUUCUCUGGACAUUUCCUGACGCUGAGAAGCGAAACCGUGGGGAGCAAACA
rnacentral:rRNA from 1 species